CCUACGGGUGGCUGCAGUGGGGAAUAUUGCGCAAUGGGCGAAAGCCUGACGCAGCGACGCCGCGUGAGGGAUGAAGGUCUUCGGAUCGUAAACCUCUGUCAGCAGGGAAGAACGGUCACUGUGCUAAUCAGCAGUGAAUUGACGGUACCUGCAAAGGAAGCACCGGCUAACUCCGUGCCAGCAGCCGCGGUAAUACGGCGGGUGGGUGCGGUAAUCGGAAUUACUGGGCGUAAAGCGCUCGUAGGCGGUAUGUCAAGUCAAGGGUGAAAUCCCCGCGCGCAACGUGGGAACUGCCUUUGAAACUGGCAAGCUGGAGUGUGUGAGAGGAUAGUGGAAUUCGAGGUGUAGGAGUGAAAUCCGUAGAUAUCUGGAGGAACAUCGGUGGCGAAGGCGACUAUCUGGCACAUAACUGACGCUGAGGAGCGAAAGCGUGGGUAGCAAACAGGAUUAGAUACCCGAGUAGUC
rnacentral:rRNA from 1 species